GAUGAACGCUGACAGAAUUGCUUAACACAUGCAAGUCGAUUCGAUUUUACCUUCGGGUAAUGAGGAUGGCGGACGGGUGAGUAACGCGUAAGGAACUUGCCUCUUGGACUGGGGACAACUGUUGGAAACGCAGCUAAAUACCGGAUAUUAUGAGAUUCUCGCAUGAGAAACUUAUGAAAGCUAUAUGCGCCAAGAGAGAGCCUUGCGUUCCAUUAGCUAGUUGGUGGGGUAA
rnacentral:rRNA from 1 species